UACGUAGGGGGCUAGCGUUGUCCGGAAUCAUUGGGCGUAAAGAGCGUGUAGGCGGCCCGGUAAGUCCGCUGUGAAAGUCGGGGGCUCAACCCUCGGAUGCCGGUGGAUACUGUCGGGCUUGAGUACGGAAGAGGCGAGUGGAAUUCCCGGUGUAGUGGUGAAAUGCGUAGAGAUCGGGAGGAGCACCCGUGGCGAAGGCGGCUCACUGGGCCGGUCCUGACGCUGAGACGCGAAGGCGUGGGGAGCGAACGGG
rnacentral:rRNA from 1 species